GAUGAACGCUAGCAGCAGGCCUAACACAUGCAAGUCGAGGGGUAGAAGUUGCUUGCAACUUUGAGACCGGCGCACGGGUGCGUAACGCGUAUGCAAUCUGCCUUGUACUGAGGGAUAGCCCAGAGAAAUUUGGAUUAAUACCUCAUAGUAUUAUGGUGUGGCAUCACAUUAUAAUUAAAGUUCCAACGGUACAAGAUGAGCAUGCGUCCCAUUAGUUAGUUGGUAAGGUAACGGCUUACCUAGACGAUGAUGGGUAGGGGUCCUGAGAGGGAGAUCCCCCACACUGGUACUGAGACACGGACCAGACUCCUACGGGAGGCAGCAGUGAGGAAUAUUGGUCAAUGGGCGCAAGCCUGAACCAGCCAUGCCGCGUGCAGGAUGACGGUCCUAUGGAUUGUAAACUGCUUUUAUACAGGAGUAACACCAAUUACGUGUAGUUGGAUGCAAGUACUGUAAGAAUAAGGAUCGGCUAACUCCGUGCCAGCCGCCGCGGUAAAAC
rnacentral:rRNA from 1 species